rnacentral:rRNA from 1 species
AAUCUUCCGCAAUGGACGAAAGUCUGACGGAGCGACGCCGCGUGAGUGAUGAAGGUCUUCGGAUCGUAACACUCUGUUGUUAGGGAAGAACAAGUAUCGUUCGAAUAGGGCGGUACCUUGACGGUACCUAACCAGAAAGCCACGGCUAACUACGUGCCAGCAGCCGCGGUAAUACGUAGGUGGCAAGCGUUAUCCGGAAUUAUUGGGCGUAAAGCGCGCGCAGGCGGUUUCUUAAGUCUGAUGUGAAAGCCCACGGCUCAACCGUGGAGGGUCAUUGGAAACUGGGAAGCUUGAGUGCAGAAGAGGAGAGUGGAAUUCCAUGUGUAGCGGUGGAAUGCGUAGAUAUUGGGAGGAACACCAGUGGCGAAGGCGACUACCUGGACGAAAACUGACGCUGAGGCACGAAAGCUAGGGGAGCAAACA